GUCGACUGUGCGACUGCGGUGAUUCAGUUCAACGAGGAAAGUCCGAGCUUCACAGAGCAGAAUGACGGAUAACGUCCGCCGAAGGUGACUUCAGGGAAAGUGCAACAGAAAAUAACCGCCGAAAAUUCGGCAAGGGUGAAAAGGGGAGGUAAAAGCUCACCGGCUGUACGGUAACGUACGGCGUCAGUGUAAACCCCAUUCGAAGCAAGAUAGGAAGAUACCGAAAUGCGGUUGCUCGCCGCGGUAUCUUCGCCAAACGUCGCUUGAGUCCGUCGGUAACGGCGGAACUAGAUAGAUAGUCGCACCAGACAGAACUCGGCUUAUAGGUCGGCUUGU
rnacentral:RNase_P_RNA from 1 species